rnacentral:rRNA from 1 species
UACAGAGGUCUCAAGCGUUGUUCGGAUUCAUUGGGCGUAAAGGGUGCGUAGGCGGCGCGGUAAGUCGGGUGUGAAAUCUUGGAGCUUAACUCCGAAACUGCAUUCGAUACUGCCGUGCUUGAGGACUGGAGAGGAGACGUGGAAUUUACGGUGUAGCGGUGAAAUGCGUAGAUAUCUGGAGGAACACCGGUGGCGAAGGCGGCAUCCUGGACCAAUUCUGACGCUGAGUGAGCGAAAGCCAGGG